rnacentral:rRNA from 1 species
GAUGAACGCUGGCGGCGUGCCUAAUACAUGCAAGUCGAGCGAAGCGGGGACGGGUGAGUAACACGUGGAUAACCUGCUAUAAGAAUGGGAAUACUUCGGGGAACCGGAGCUUAAACGGAUACUUAUACAAGGAUCUGCGCUGCAUUUGCUAGGUGGUAAGGUAACGGCUUACCAAGGCAACGAUGCAUAGCCGACCUGAGAGGGUGAUCAGCCACACGGGAACGGAGACACGGUCCAGACUCCUACGGGAGGCAGCAGUAGGGAAUCUUCCUCAAUGGGCGAAAGCCUGACGGAGCAACGCCGCGUGAGUGAUGAAGGUCUUCGGAUCGUAAAGCUCUGUUAUUAGGGAAGCGGUACCUAAUCAGAAAGCCACGGCUAACUACGUGCCAGCAGCCGCGGUAAUAC